CUACGGGACGCUCCAGUAAGGAAUAUUGCGCAAUGGAGGCAACUCUGACGCAGCCAUGCCGCGUGCAGGAAGAAGGCCUUAUGGGUCGUAAACUGCUUUUAUUUAGGAAUAAACCCCCGAACGUGUUCGGGGCUGAAGGUACUAAACGAAUAAGCACCGGCUAACUCCGUGCCAGCAGCCGCGGUAAUACGGAGGGUGCAAGCGUUAUCCGGAUGUAUUGGGUUUAAAGGGUGCGCAGGCGGGCUAUUAAGUCAGUGGUGAAAUCCCGGGGCUCAACUCCGGAACUGCCAUUGAUACUGAUAGUCUUGAGUUUGGUUGAAGUGGGCGGAAUGUAGCAUGUAGCGGUGAAAUGCAUAGAUAUGCUACAGGACACCAAUCGCGAAGGCAGCUCACUAAGCCAAAACUGACGCUCAUGCACGAAAGCGUGGGGAUCAAACAGGAUUAGAUACCCGGGUAGUC
rnacentral:rRNA from 1 species